AGCAUCUCAAUACUGGUUUUACUCCUCAACAGUCUAAGUUUGUUUUUUCACUUCACUACACCUGUUUUCAAGUACUAAGUGAAAUCACUCCUUAUCCUUGGGAGAAAAUGACACAAGAAAUGACAGUCAUGGAAUCUUCUGGAUGUGGGAACAGAAAUAGUUCUCAAAAUAAAUCGUGGUCAUACACAGGUAACUUCUUCUUGAGGUGACUUGGUGACGUCACAAGAUAGACCUCUACAGAAGACCAACCACGGACAGAGUCGAGUGAUGACACUUGCUCUCUGGCUGAAUUAUAGUAGAGGUUUUGCCCGCAUGCUGACGCCUCUGUGAACAUGGCCCAGAGCAGUGCUGCAGAAAGUGAGUGAGCGUGGGGAGAGAUUUUUCAGUAGAGAUUAAACAAAUGGAAUGGAGUGUGGCAAUAAGACCAGCCCUUUCACCUCAGUUCCUCUGACAACCAAGUGAGAGAGACUGCUGCUGAAAGGAGGAAUGAGAGCAGUA